CGAAGAGUUAACGGGGCAAAUCUCCACGUCAUUAUCCGGCAGGAGGAGUACAUUGUCCUCGCAAAACGUAAGAAAUCAUCUGCGGGAUAACGGUGCGCCUUCCGUCUUUCAAACGUGUUUCUUUUUUUUUUUUCCAGAGCACAAUGCGACAUCGCGCGCGUGAAAAGUCGGGCGCGGAGAUGUCUAAUCAACGUAGCGCUGUGAGAGCGAAGGCAAGGGGGCCGGGAAAGGGAACCGUUGUGUAGUAUAGUUACGCUCGAGCAUCUGCCGCUCGUUAGGCGUGUCAAUGAGCACGCCUGCAAUCCGUAAUUAGUCCGCCGAUCCGCUUAACAAUGUGUGACACUUCGCGAGCCGUCUACGUGAGCAAACGGCAAUUAGAAGCGCGAGACUUCGAAAAAGAUGGACGACCUGGUCGUUUUACCCGCUUUUCGCCAUCGGAGGUGCCGCGAGCGCCGACAGCUUUCGGACGGAAACAAUAGACCGAUAACCGAUUAUAGAACACGCACCUUUUCGAUUGCAAAACAAUUCCCUGCUUCUGCCGUUAUAGAUAAUGCGCGCGGCGCCGGGCGAAUUCGUGCGCGAACGAUCAAUAUCCGCGUCUCGGUACUUUUAUUACGCCAAUCCUUUCGCCGAGCGAUAACCGCGGGAGCUCCCUCUCUCUCUCUUUCUCUCUCUCUCUCUCUCUCUUUCCCUAUCUCGUGAGAGAGGGAAAAAGAAACUCGUCGGGGUGGACGUGUGAGAUUCACUUCCGCGAAAAGCUGUCGCAGCGAUAAACCGUAGCGAAUUGUAGCGGAUAUCAUCGGCGAUGGAUAAGAAAUCGCGUUCUGGGAAGAAGGGGAGCUCGCUAGUCUCCAAUCUACGUUUAAUGGCUGCGCAGUGUAAAUCUGGCAUCACGGCGUUGACAACGACGGCGACGGCAGGAUUAUUAUUAUCGCAAUAGCGUUCGUCUAAUGGCCCCGUCGCAACUGGGAAUUGACACACCGCCGCCGCGGCGAACAGAAGCCCGGGUUAAAAGCCGCCGAUUAUUACGCGAUCUCCGGUAAUUCGUUCGCCGAAGAGAGACGCCUUCUUCUUGACGCUUCGAUUGAAGACGGAAUCCACGCUGCUCGCUCGCUCGAAGCGAUCGGGUCGGCACGGCGAAAGAAAAGUCGUCGCGAGCUCGCGAGAAAUGACAUCUACGAUCAGUACGAUCUUGUCGGCAGCCAAGGGAGCGGCAUACGUUUCGCACACGUCGCGACGUUCAGUCGCCAACCGCAUCUGUUACUGUACACUUAAACGAUUGCGCAGCCAAUUCCUGUCCAGUCCGAUGUAUGAUGCGUCGUUAUUUCGGAUGCAAAAUCCGUAAUAGACGUACAACGAUUCCAAGUAUAUAGCUGCCAUAAUCGACAGAUGUGUAAUUCUUAAAAUAUAUAACUUAGAUUAUCGUGUUUGUUUUUUAUUCCAUGGAGGGGAACGCAUCUGCAAAGCAGAGAAUCGCGCUUGAUCUAAACAAAUGGAAGUCGGUCGGGUUGCAUAAAUUUCGAAGUUGCGAUUCGACUCCUCCACCUGUCCUUUGCAGCUGCCUCCAUCUGAUUAGUGUAGAUUUUACGCGAAAUCGCACAGACACGCAGGUGUUGACCAGCAAAAUUUUAAAAUCAUACAUCGCCAAAUACUGCGUUCAUACACUCUAUGCAAUAAACGUCAUUUCUGAUACAACAAUGUACAAUCUGGAAAAAGCUUAUAUAAUUUAUCAAUGUACGGUCUUAUUUAAAAAUAGAAAAAUCUUUUUCAGCAAAAAGAAAAUUUUUCCUCAAGAAAACAAAUAGUUAAACUUUCAAGAUUCUCAAAUUAUUCGAUUAAGAAGCUAAAAGACCCUAGCAAAUUAAAAGUAGGGAAUUUUUCGACACCAAGUAACUUUUAUUUAAAGAAAGAUUAAUUAUGAGUUUUUACUUUAAGGGACUAUUUUGGUGUGACGACCUAAAAAGUUACGCAUUUUUGACGAAUUUUCUCUCAAAAAGUACUGCAUGUAACGGCAUAACAUUUUUUUCCCUGAAAGGUGUACUCUAGGAGAAUAAAAAAAAUUUUUUUUAUAGUAAGAAAUAUGCAUAUUUAUUUAUUUAUUUACUAGUAAAUAAACACUUAAAUCAAAAAAUUAUCUUGCUGGCGCAGGUGAUUGGCGCCUUCCAGGUCUAAAACAAAAAAUUCAAAGAGAUUGUUAAUGUGUAUGAAUGUCGCUAUCGCCCGAACCUCAAUCAUGGUAAAAUAUUAAUAUUAACUUAUAUUUUUACCCCAAUUAUGACGUAAAAAAACGUUUUUUUUAACACCUUUACCAAAAACGCCGCCAUGUUUUACAUUUAUAAUAUAAAUUAAUAAUUGAGGUUCGGGCGAUAACGACACUCAUACAAAUUAACAAUUUCUUUGAAUUUUUUGUUUCAGAUCUGAAGAGCCUCAAUCACCUGCGCCAGCAAGAUGAUUCUUUCAUUUAUGUGUUCAUUUACGAGUAAAUAAAUAAAUAAAUAUGCAUAUUUUUAACUAUAAAAAAAUUAGUUUCUAUUCUCCUAGAGUACACCUUUCAAGGAAAAAAAAAUAUUAUGCCGUUACAUGCAGUACUUUUUGAGAAAAAAACUCGUCAAAAAUGCAUAACUUUUUAGGUGGUCACACCAGAAUAGUCCCUUAAAACUAUACAAAAUUAAAAUAAAUGCAAACAUAAAUAAAAAUAGCAUUCUUAAAUAAAUUUUUUUACACUUGUGGCAUUCUGAUCGCGGGCGAAGGAUUUUUUAUUUUUCGCGAAACCGCACAUAUUUAAAUUUGCGUUACAUUAAAAAAAACAAAAAGGACAAAUUUUCGGGAAAAAAUGUAUUUCUUUAAACAAAUGUUUGUAAUAAGUUAAUAAAAAAUCCCAUUUUCCGAUUCAAUAGAGUUCUAUAGCUUCCUUUGCAAACAAUCGAUUCAGGCAGUCAAAAUUGAUAAGUAAAAAUCCGCAUUGCAUUAACGUGCACUCGUGGAAAUUGAAAAACGAUUUCCCUUCUUUUUGCGUGCCACGGCAUCAACCUCGCGAAACCGUCUUCGUCAUCGUGGUUGCCUUCGCCGGCUUCGGAGCCGAGUGGAACGUAAUGGCGAGAUCAGCCAAGAUGAGACGUCAGUAAUGAAGCCCUUUGUUGCCACGCAUGGAGGCUCUCCAUGACGACUUUGGCUCAAAGAGAAAAAAAAGACUCGUGUUUCGCGAAUGACUCAACAACUGUGUCAUUAAUCCCUUAAAGUUUCGAAACUUUUUCUGAAUAACGACAUCCGCAAAAGUGCUGUUACGAAUGAUACAACAAGAAAUUCUAAUCAACAGUACCGUACGCUACAAAUUCGACAUAAUGCAAUCGAGAGUGGUCGGUUAGUAAAUGAUUACAGCUCCUAUUAGCGUUCACGUGCAUCUCUCGUGUAAUCUGUAGGUGUAAUUUAACGCUAAGGCAGGCCCCGCAAUCGAUUCGAAUCGAAGACCUUCGAUAGCAUCGACUAUUUGUGUCAUUAAUAGGGUCAACGCAUAAUCCGUUCGAGCGAGAUUAAGAUUGCACCUCGUUACAGCAGCCAAUAACCCGAUUGAACGUCGCAAGAUUACGUUCGCGUGCGAGUAAUAGCGUCUGGUUACGAUUGGUGUUAAGUGCCAAUCUAUUAAUUGGCGAGCCGCACCAUUACAAUCUGUUAAGGCCGAUUUAAUACUAAUGUUCGUCACAAUAUCGGAAUAUAUAUAAAAUAUACAUACAUCUAUAUAUUUAAAAAAUAUAUAUAUUGUAAAACAAUUUAAGCCAUUUUACCAGCAAAUUUUCAUGCAUUGCAAAAUGCCAGCCAGUCUCCCAAAAACGUAGGCUCAAUUACUUAAAUUAUUCUGAACUGUUAGGAUGCGUCGCAAAUCUCGAAAGGUUCCCAGAGAAGCUCGUUCAGGCCGGUCUCUCUCUCUCUCACACACACACACACACGCGCGCGCACUCUCAUUGUGCCGCAUCUGCCGCAUGGAGUGAAAACUCACGUGAUCUAUUAUAGGUGCAGGUGCAAGAGGCUCGAGAGGUUAACCCGAUUUCUUUCCUCUCCGAGGGGAGUGUUGCGAGUCGCGAUGCAACACUCCCGGCGUCAUUAGCCCUCGCCUGGGCGAGUUCCCCGCGUGCUGCGACGAUCACUUUGCAGCUCGGAACGGACGAAUGAAAUCUGAGGAAAGUCACGGUCGUGACAGACAGAGAGGAUGCGCCGAGGGCUCGACGUGAGUACGGGCAUGAUCGGACAGGGUUUCUAUCUCGAGCGUCUACCAAGGUCACGGUUAAAUACACAGACGUCAUUAACCUUGACCAAGUACACCGCCGCCGCUUUACGUUGUCCACGAAGAAAUCCCAUGAGGGUAGUCACGCGUUGUGAGCAUCUUUUCAUUAAGGGAGUUCCUUUACUCAGGCCCGGCACAAGUGGCACAGUGGCUCAAGUAAAAAAAAAAA